rnacentral:rRNA from 1 species
AUUGAACGCUGGCGGCAUGCUUUACACAUGCAAGUCGAACGGUAACAGGUCAAGCUGACGAGUGGCGAACGGGUGAGUAAUGCAUCGGAACGUGCCCGAUCGUGGGGGAUAACGCAGCGAAAGCUGCGCUAAUACCGCAUACGAUCUGAGGAUGAAAGCGGGGGACCGUAAGGCCUCGCGCGAUCGGAGCGGCCGAUGUCAGAUUAGGUAGUUGGUGGGGUAAAGGCCCACCAAGCCGACGAUCUGUAGCUGGUCUGAGAGGACGACCAGCCACACUGGGACUGAGACACGGCCCAGACCCAUACGGGAGGCAGCAGUGGGGAAUUUUGGACAAUGGACGCAAGUCUGAUCCAGCCAUGCCGCGUGCAGGAAGAAGGCCUUCGGGUUGUAAACUGCUUUUGUACGGAGCGAAAAAGCUCUCUCUAAUACAGGGGGCUCAUGACGGUACCGUAAGAAUAAGCACCGGCUAACUACGUGCCAGCAGCCGCAGUAAUAC